UACGUAGGUGACAAGCGUUGUCCGGAUUUACUGGGCGUAAAGAGCGCGCAGGCGGUCGUUCAAGUCGAGUGUGAAAGCCCCCGGCUCAACUGGGGAGGGUCACUCGAUACUGAUCGACUCGAAGGCAGGAGAGGGAAGUGGGAAUUCCCGGUGUAGUGGUGAAAUGCGUAGAUAUCGGGAGGAACACCAGUGGCGAAGGGCGAACUCC
rnacentral:rRNA from 1 species